rnacentral:rRNA from 1 species
ACUCCUACGGGAGGCAGCAGUAGGGAAUCUUCCACAAUGGGCGCAAGCCUGAUGGAGCAACACCGCGUGAGUGAAGAAGGGUUUCGGCUCGUAAAGCCCUGUUGUUAAAGAAGAACACGUAUGAGAGUAACUGUUCAUACGUUGACGGUAUUUAACCAGAAAGUCACGGCUAACUACGUGCCAGCAGCCGCGGUAAUACGUAGGUGGCAAGCGUUAUCCGGAUUUAUUGGGCGUAAAGAGAGUGCAGGCGGUUUUCUAAGUCUGAUGUGAAAGCCUUCGGCUUAACCGGAGAAGUGCAUCGGAAACUGGAUAACUUGAGUGCAGAAGAGGGUAGUGGAACUCCAUGUGUAGCGGUGGAAUGCGUAGAUAUAUGGAAGAACACCAGUGGCGAAGGCGGCUACCUGGUCUGCAACUGACGCUGAGACUCGAAAGCAUGGGUAGCGAACAGGAUUAGAUACCCUGGUAGGAUAGCG